ACUCCUACGGGAGGCAGCAGUGGGGAAUCUUGCACAAUGGGCGAAAGCCUGAUGCAGCGACGCCGCGUGGGGGAUGAAGGCCCUAGGGUCGUAAACCCCUUUCAGUUAGGGACGGAAAAUGACAGGUACCUACAGAAGAAGCCCCGGCCAACUACGUGCCAGCAGCCGCGGUAAGACGUAGGGGCGAGCGUUGUCCGGAUUUAUUGGGCGUAAAGGGCUCGUAGGUGGUUGCGUAAGUCGGAUGUGAAAACUCCAGGCUCAACUUGGAGACGCCAUCCGAUACUGCGCUGACUUGAGUCCGGUAGAGGAGUGUGGAAUUUCUAGUGUAGCGGUGAAAUGCGCAGAUAUUAGAAGGAACACCUAUUGCGAAGGCAGCACUCUGGGCCGGCACUGACACUGAGGAGCGAAAGCGUGGGUAGCAAACAGGAUUAGAUACCCUGGUAGGCUCUGCU
rnacentral:rRNA from 1 species